CCGCGCAGCCGGGGAGGUAGCGGUUCCCUGUACCUGAAACCCGCUAUAGCAGGGGUGAUGCCGAUCGGAGGAUCGAGAGCGGCAGAGCUGCCUUGGAUAAGUGAUGUUGACGUCCGGGUCCUGCGCAACGGAUCCCUGUGAACCGUGUCAGGGCAGGAAUGCAGCAGCACUAAGCAGGCCCUUUCGUGUGCCGCGGGGGCGCCUGGACCGAGUUAACUGUCCAAGUAACGUCUGCUUCUCCGUUUCGAUGUGAGGCGCGCGG
rnacentral:SRP_RNA from 1 species